AGAAAGUCUGGCUGAAGAUGUCGGACGACAACCUCUUACAGGGCAUAAAAGUUGCUCGAUUGAAACCUGCAGGAUAAUCAAAAAGGUCAGACGAUAAAGAGCUGAUAGCCCUGUGCUUUGCCACUUAAAUAUUUAAUCUUUACAUUUAAAAAUCCUGCAGUGGCUAGCCAGCUGCAAGCAAAGAACCAUUCUGAUGAUGAUGACCACAAAUGGACGCAAAAGAGAAGUACCUAGACCUGGAUGCUUACUUGCCCAAAACCAAAGUUUAUCUGAGCCACCAGCCCCCUUGCUUCGAGCUUCUUGUUAGUUGUUACCAUUCUCUCUGAGCCAUCAGUCUCUCGGUCUGUCGUCCUGUUCAUGAGUCGGUUAUUGGACUACUGGUUCGAUCUAAUCAACAGAGUUGAGGUAUGCAACUUAUUUCAUUGCACAUAUAAGUCCAUUUGUAAUGUGUAGUAGCAUGCAAAAAGAAAAGGACAUAAUGCUUUGUGUGUUGGCCAGAUCAGAGCGGAGACCAAAAUCAAGCGAUGGGUCAGAUCCUGAAUAGAAAUGGAUCCGUUCCUGUAGUUGAAAAAUGGAGGUUGCAGUGUUAUUUCUCAAGAUCUACUAGCUGCAUACACCGCAGAUUGCUCGAGCCGAGCUGACCAGCCGGUCAAUCUCAUCCAUCAUGCGUACUGAGGUAAAUCGAUCAGCUAGCGUCAAGCUCUGAAUAGUUGCAUCUUAAUUACAUAGCUGAAAAUAGUAGUGCAUUAACUCAUGCUCCUAUUACAAUUAGAAUGGCAUAUGCAACACGAGAGUCAAAUUUCCUCUAGGAAAUUAUAUCGAAAGCUAUGAGCAUAGGAGUAUCAAUUGUAGUUUAGUGUUAUAAUUGAAUAUCAAUGCAUAUAUAACUGUAUUAAUUUAUUAUAUUGCUAAACCAUGAAAAUCAAUAUGCACACUACUCCAUGCAUGCACACUAUCAGAUUUUGCUGGUUGAAUUUAUCGGGCUAACAUAGCUAAAAGAUAAGAUUGAAUACAUGCAUGUCGGCUAUUUCUUUGAAUCUAAGAUUAUUGAUUUUUGUAUUUUUCAAGGGUACAAAAAAGAUUGUUCCAUUAUAUUAAAAUUUUUAUUAUUAUCAUAUCAACAUAUUGCACGUGUGUGCCGCACGCAUUUUUACUAGUAUUAGUAAUGAUCGAACCUGCUAGAAGUGUAUAUACAUCGCACAUUAGGUUAUUUUCUUAUAGUGGCACAUGUGAGUAAUUUAGAUAUAGUUUAAGGGGAUAUUUGGAGUUUUUAAUAUUGAGUUUUUUUAUAAUGAGAGGUGAAACUUUCUAGUUUAGAAGUAUAUGUAGCAAGAACUUUGAAUUGAUUUUUUGCCAUAAUGAAAUAUGUGUGUAAUUUAGAUGUAUAUUUAAGGAUUUUUUAAAGUUAUCUUUAAUAAAGAUAGAGGCGGGUGAUUUAGAUAUAGAUUCCAGGAUUAUUUUAAGUUCUUUUCAUAAUGACAGAUGUUGGUAAUUUAGAUGCAAAUUUAGGGUUAUUUUAAGUUAUUUUUUAAUAAUGGAAGAGGUGGUUAAUUAGAAGCAACUAGAUCUAAUGUAUACUAAUAAAUUAUUAUAAUUACAAUCUACCAAGUUGAUGGUAUGAUGUUUAUGUUUUUAAGAUUUAUCUAUUUUCUAGCGCGUUUCAUAGGAAAUAACAUGGAGGCCCUAAAAAUAGCUUCCAAUUAGUAAAUAGUAUUAAGGUAAGAUUGUGGGCGCUCCCUUUUUUUUAAAAUAAUUUCCCUUGUUGAUCUCAAUCUGCCUUUGCAUAAAAGAUACGCAAACGAUCAUGCAUGCAUCUCCUUGGUCACACAGGACUGACGCAUGCGCGCAUUGCACGCAGGUUAUCAACACGGACAGCAUCUUCGAAGCUGCCAAACGUAUUCUCAGAGAACUGAAGGAGGAAGCUGCUGGUAUUGCUACAAGCAGCAGCAGGCCCAAUAAUGCCAUCUACUUCGACGCGUGGGAUGGCCUGGGGGCAGCUGCAGCAGAGGAAGACCCGGCACCGCCUGGAAGCAGGAGAGCCCCUGCCGCUGCUGGUCCGGAGUUCUCGCAUGUCUUUCACAUAGACUGCUCCAAGUGGGAGAGCAGGAGAGCGAUGCAAAGGACAAUCGCAGAGAAGCUUGAGCUUCCCGCUCCGGUGAUGGACAUGCUGGACGCACAAGAUGAGGAGGAUGAUUACCAUGGCGUGGACGGGCUCCCGUGCAGGUCGCCGAGGCGAUAUAUCAACACAUACAGAAGCUGAUUAUGAACAGCAGGUUCUUAGUGAUUUUCCACAACGGGAGCAGCGAGGAGAUCCAUCUUGACAGCUUCGGCUUCCCUCUGUCCGGAUACUCAAGGAACAAGGUCCUAUGGUCAUUCCAAGGGAGGUUCCGGCUCUACCCUAGGAAGAAGGUCGAUAGGGCCUUGAAGAGCACGAGGACGACGACGGAUGUCGUUAUCUCGGCAAACACACAGGAUCCUCACUGCCUGUCUGGCCUUUUGUCCUCCGAGGCUGAAGAAGUUGCACACGGGAGGAAUGCUACUGACAGCUUCUGUGACUGGUGGGCGGAUGCUUCUCAUCACCGGCAAGCCCGAUAUUGCUUCGAGUACAUGAUGAAGCUUUGCCACAUGGGUAGUCAGUUGGUCGAUUAUGAGUUGACCACCCAUGGCUGCAACUACUGGAGAUGUGAUGGCAUCAUGCGGCUACAACAGGAAGAUGUUGGCACUGAUGAUGAUGAUGAUGAUGAUGAUAGAUUAUGACUAUAUUGUGAUGCUCUGCAUUGCGAGAUGCAACUGGAUGUGGACUACUGCCAAAAUCCAUACUUGCCAUAUCUGGAUCCAGUGGUACGGGGUUUGCCUGGGACACCAUACUGGACUUCACCGACCUAUGGGUCCAUGAUAAUCCCCCAUCAGCAUGGUGUCGUUCCUAAAGGCAUGUUCCAACAGUUCGACAAGCUUCGUGUGCUCAAGCUAUCAGCUUGCUGGUUCAGCUUCACAUCGCCACCGUUCCUCUGCUGCCACAGCCUUAGGUUUCUUUGGCUGGACCACUGCUAUGACCAAGAGUGGAGAACAGAGGAUGGAGAAGCGAAGGAUGAGGAUAUUCAUCGGUGCUUCAAAAGGCUAUGGGUGUUGGACGUGCGCCAUUCAAGCUCUAAGUUCUUGUCUGCAAAGAUGAUGGAUUUCAUGACUCAACUUAGGAAACUAUACACUACUGGAAAAGUGCCUUCAAUACCGGUUCCUAACCCUUUUAGUAUUGGUUGUGCAACCGGUAUUUCUACUUCGGUAUCCUUUAGUACCGGGUCAAAUAACCGGUACUAAAGGAGUAUUAAAAAAUAAAAAAAAUACGAAAUCACCCCACCUGAGCCCGAGCCCCGCCGGCCCGAGCCCGAGCCCGAGCCCUCCCGCUGCCGCCCUCCCCCUACCACCCUUGGUCCCACCGCUGCCUAAAGGCCGGAGAGGAGGGGGAGAGGGCGGAGUCCAGGUGGAGGGAGAGGGUGAGUCCGGGAAGAUAAGAUGGGUCGGGAAGAUAAGAUAAGAUGAGUCCAGGCAGAGGAGAUAGGGAUGGGUGACCUCCUUUAGAUUGGGAGCUCCAACCGAUACUAAUGGGUGGAGUGGAGCCUCCACCCGGUACUAAAGGCUCUCAGGUACUAAAGACCCUCAGGCACAUUAAUACCAGGUGGAGGUGAUGACCUUUAGUACCGGUAAGGGAGUCAUGGGGAACUCCUGGGGAACUAGCCGUUAGACCAAAACUAGUCGUUAGACUAAUGCUCACAUUAGUACCAGGUCAAAAACCAAUCGGUACUAAAGGCUAAGACCAAUACUCAGUUUUCUAGUAGUGAUAUGUGAUGGGACAAGAGUUUGAAAUGGGCAUGUUGCAGGAGGGGCUACACAACAUUCGCAAGCUCCGAGUAAUCAAGUCCAGUGCGAUAGACUACAGAGAUAGGAGAGUCAUGUUCUCAAGGAACGACAAGAUGGAGCUUCUUGACUUUUCAGGAUAUGAUGGCAACAUUGAGAGUUUGUCUGUGGAAAGCAACUGCAGCAGCCUUGAGACUGUCAUCAUUGACGGAUCUGAUGCGUUAAAAGGGAUUUCCUUGAAAGGUUGUGCUAAACUGAAGAGUCUACAGUUGAGCGGGUUGUUCCUGCAGCUAUACAGCCUAGACCUCAGUGGUACAGCAGUGAAAACACUAGAUUUCAGUGCAAUGACUGCCCCGAAUCUUGACGAACUCUUUCUACUUGACUGUGAGAAGCUUUGUGCAAUCCUAUGGCAACCACGAAGUGAAGGCAGGAGGAAAAGAUACUUGAGUAAGCUGCGAAUUGACACCACCCAAAAGGAGGUCACGGCUGCAGCUGAUUCAGGAAGCAGAUCACCUGCUGAAUUUGAUUGGCAUAUUUGUGUAAGAGAUGCAAGCUAGGCUCCUUGGAUCGCUUGAGCCCAUCAAAGAUUAUUUUGGUCCCAACAAUGCGUUCGUAGAGAUUUCCACAACGGCAUCCCUUACUCGUCCCGAUGCCGAUGUUGAUUGAAGUAGAAAAGGUGCCGGGAUCAAGAGUAGUAGCAGUGGGCAGCAAGUGCAUGUAAACCUGCAGCAGGUCAAAGAUAAUGCAAUUGUAUGCCGACGUCGCAGCAGGAUACUGGUGUCAUCCCAAGGCUGCUACAUCCACAUAGAAGACAAGAUUACCAGGACCAAAUUACAAACAGCAAGUCAUAUUACAGUACGACCGGGAUUUAUAUAUGGUGCUAAGAUCCUGCAUCUGCAUGAUAGCAUGAUAACGUGUUGUAUUGAACAUUUGAUACGUUUUUGACCAAUAGAUGAACUAACAUCCAAGGAUAUGGAAUAUUCUAUCAAACAGGUAAUUAACUUGCUUCCCCUGUUGAGGGGUAACCUGCUGGUAACCCGUAAGUUUUGGCCAGUUACCCAUCCAGAAUUCAAACAAAAGGGGGAAAAGAAAAGGCACCCACCAGCAACCCUACGGUUUUUUAUGCCGGCCUAUGUCAGGUGUUUAUUAUACUUGCAUUUUUUAAUCCAUGCUUCAAACUGAAUAAACUAAUUGCACACUGCACAUCAUGCAUAAAAGCAGAAACCAAUCAAUCCAAAACCACACAUGUACAAGGUAAAGUGACGAAAGCAAUACCUUGAUCAGCAGGAAGCACAGUGAAGACACCUGAGGCAAGCCCACGGAUGGCAGGCCCAACAACUGCAGUUCCUCAAACAAACUGGGGAAGAAUGCACCAGAGACAGCAGCAACUGCAAUCUUAGAAAAACGCUGAGAAGCAAAUCCCACAUGCAUCAUCAAUCAUAGAGGGCAGCAGCAAACACUAAACACAUUCACUGAUUUCAUGUAUGCCAAACAGUCAUAUUCAUGCAAAUAUACCAGAAUCGACAAACUAAAUGCUAUGUAAAAUUAGUUUACACUUCCACAAAUACACACUUAAUUUUUUCCUCGGACAUGCAAGAGAGCUUAUCAGUCCAAGUACAAGCCUCCCCUUAAAGGGAUGAACUCAACUCAUAAUCAUACCCACCAAAAACAACAGGACUACACACGCGCCACUAGAAAAAAAAAACACACGACCCGACCGCACACUACGGCUGAAACUAAUCCAGCCAGAGGGGUGUAAAACAAAUAAACACACACUAUUGAUGCAAACAUUUGAAGGAGAACAGAAAAAUGAAGGUUCGCCUUAUGGCACAGCAUAAAUUCCUGCUCUCUUGAGAAGAACAGUAGAUUGUUCAUAUGAAAUAAA
rnacentral:lncRNA from 1 species